GAAAGGUCUGCCUAUACAGCAAAAUGUUACAGCUGUUAUAAUUCCAGAAAAUGUCGGGGAGCUGGAUUCACAGACCUUUUCCAGCUGCAUGUCCCUGUGUCUUACAUGACAUCCCUCCACCUGUACCCAUGCAGCCCGUGCCUCGGUGGAAAUAGCCCCAAAGUGUGUUCUGGAGGAGAAUGAGACUAGAAAAAGGCACUAUCACCAUUCAGGUUUGCUGAAAUCAACACGUGCCAUAUUCCAGAAAACAAAAUAUAAGAUGUGGAAUAUUAUACUUCGAUUUUUCUUCCUGUUUCUGAGUGAGCUACUCUCUGAGUUAUUCCUCUGUCAUUUUUACUGCCAAGGAAAAGCCUGAAUGUGCAUUGUCCUCAAAUAAGAUCCCGCUGAGCAAAAAUUUCCUAUAUAACCCUUGAAACACAGCGGAGUGAAUACACAUUCUCUCUCUUUUUUUUUUUUUUUGGUCUUGUUUUGGUUUUUUUUGUUUGCUUGUUUGUGUUUUUUUUUUGUUUGUUUGUUUGUUUGUUUUGUUUUUUUUUAAUUUUUGUUUUUUGUUUUUUCCCAAGUACUGAAACUGGAAACUUGGCCUUGGGAGUCCCACUCAGCCACUGCUGGCAGAGAAGCACUGCUGGGUGACAUCUGUCAUCGGCCACUGCUGAGCUCAAAUAUUCACUUCCUAGCAGCAAGAUGUGUUUUAAACAAACAAACAAAAACAAGGAGAAAGCCUUCUGAGUAUUCUCCAACAGCAGCUCGAAGCAGAGAUGUGUCCCUGCUUUGAAUUCGCUGUGAGGAGAACCAACACAUCAAAGCAGUGACACACGAGGCUUUCUCAGCAUCCCGGUGCCUUUCAGAGUGCCCAGCACCUCCUUUUGUCACUCUGCUGGUUCCACAAAUGGAGCUUUCUCCCUUCCCUGCUCUGUGAUUUCACCUGGUCAACAGGCAGGCUGAAUUUUAACUGAUGAAAACUGAUGGCUUGAGAUGCAAACUCUGACCCAGAGCGACGGUGCACUGCGGCACCAGCUGGGGAAAAUUCCAAGCAGAAACCUUCCUGAAGAGGAGCAAUAAAGGAGCAGCAUUCCAGGGAGGAACUCGACAACUCAGCGAGAGAUUAAAAAGCAGGGAGUGAAUUUUUAAUGACCUGGAAUGCUCUGGAAGAUGUGCCCGAUGCAAACACCAAAAAAUUGCCAUAAGGAAUGUGAACCUGGUGGAGCCCAAAUAAACGUGGAGCUCUGAUGAAGAGGAAAAAAAUGAAGUAAUGUUGUAGUGCUCCUUCAUUGCAUGUGUGAAUUUUAGUUAUGUCUUGAGGAAACUUAAGAAGGAUAGGUUGGCUUGGGCUUCUGAACUUUUUUUCUGGAAGAAUAAUUUCUGGUCAAUUAUCCUCUCCAACCCCUCUUGCUUUGACACCAUAGAAUCCCAGGAUGGUUUGGGUUGGAUGGGACCUGAGAGUCCAUCCCAUUCCACAGGGACACCUUCCACUAUCCAUAACCCCAUCCCACGUGGCCUCCAGCAGCAUCAGAGCUGGAUCAAUUCCCUUCAAAACGUAGACCCUCAGUGCCCUCUGUCAGCACCACCAGUGCAGGGCCUGACCUCAGAUCCUGUCCCCUUAAUUCCACAAAGUGUGACUUCAGCAGGUGCCUGGUACAAAAAGGAGAAGAACAAGAUCUGUGUUGGCCUCGGCAGGUUCAGAACUUGCACCUUAAAGGGUCACAGCUCAGCUGGACUCUUUUUUUCCCAUUCAUUUGCCUUGCCUUACCAGGAACCUGAACAGGAUUUCCUGCACUUACUGAGGCACUUGAUGGAGUCCUUCACCCAAAAGCAGGAAGAUGACCAAAAAAAAAAAAAAAGUCAGGAAUCAGAAGGAGCCCACCUGGCCUCCAGCAGAACCAAUAAAAAAUUCCCUGGCUUGGCAUCCAGAGUCCUCAUCCAUUCCUGCUUAAUCAGGUCCCACACAUCCAUCUCAUUUAAAGGGGAUUCCUCAACUCACGUUUUAACCUUACUUUUCUGAAAAUCUAGCUCAGAACAGAAGCUGAAGGCAUUUUGUAGGGCUGAAGACUGAUGGUGUUAUAACAGUGAAAAGCAUCAGGACCCUGACACCUCAGAGAGGGCAGCACUGACCUGCCCAAGAGCUCCAGACAGAUUAUAAAGGUUUCUUGUGGACAUUUGACCAUGAAGGUGCUUGGCUUUUCUUCCCAGUACCAGCUUCUUCCCUAAGCCCUAGCAUUUACUGAACUCUUUUCUUACAAGGAAAGAAAAAGAAAAAAAAAAUAAAAAGAGGAAAAAAUUGUACAAAAAAAAUAAAUCCUGCUUUUGUUCUGGAUAAAACUAGGUCAGCGUUUUCCAUCCCCACUGUCAGUUUUCUGCAGUGUGUUUCAAACAAAGCAUCAUCAUUCCAGCAAAAGGUAUUUAUAAAGUGAGCUUUGACAAAACAAUUGUAUUUUUUAUUCCAGAAAGGCUUUGGCAUCUGUCACUGCCAGGAAAGAUUUAAGAUCUAGGCAGAAUUUCCAUCUCUCAGAGUAACUUGGCCUAUAUUGACUAGAACUAAUAGAUCUGAUGUUUUAAAACCCCUUGUGCAGCAAAGCACUGUAAAUUGCAGCUGUUUAGAAAUUUCCCUCCUUCAUGGAAAAUUUACAGUGGCAAAAGUAUAAAUGUUACCAGGAUUUAUUUUCACCUGGC